AAUCAUCUCUCUGUCUUUCUCAGUACUGGGGUGUACCUUGAACUUUGAAGGCUCUCAGGGAGGCUAUGGCAAGAGCCUAAGACUAGUUGGAAACUAAAUUAAAUUCUUAUAUCCCAUUCUACUGUGAUAGAACUUUAAAUAUGCCUUAAAUACACCUAUUUCAAUAUUAUGUUAUUAGCCAAACAUAGAUGUUUAAUACUGCAGACAGAGUUUUGUGUUUUGUGGUCUCCAGGUCUCUCUAGUCACUGGGCCUUCAUAAUGUCUACAUUAUGAAGCCAUCUUAAUCUAGUUUUAUUGAUUCCUCCCUUCCAUUUAUUUCUUGGUAGUAUACAUUAUAUUGAUACCGCAGUGAUAAAUUGAUGUAAUUCUGUCUUUUUGCACUUGUAUGCAUUUGUAAACACUAAACAUUGUUAAUAACAGUGUAGUUAGUAGUAUUGAUGCUGUUACCUUGUUUCAGCAAAAUUGAGCAGUUAAUAUUUUUCUCCAAACCUGCUCUGCUAAGCUUAUUUUCACUCAAACCUUUGGCUUCACCUCUAGUAACUUCUGUAUCAGUGAUGCAUUUUCCAUAUGAGGUCAUGAAGAGUAAAACUACAUCAAGAGAUAACAUUUCUUAAAUAAAGCUCAAAGAAUUACAGAUUUUUGUAUGCACUGAGGUAAUACACUUAAUAAAAUUAUCUCCUUUCCUCCUUGUAUAGACUCCAGCCUCUUCCAGGAACCUAUUUAGGCAAUGUCAACUUCAUGAUAAAAACCUUAAAAUAGAGGUCAAAAGUACUAAAUUUGGAUGUCCAAUUCAGUAUCUAUCACACAGUUAUGAUUUCUAAGAAUUUGUAACAUAGGAAAGUACUUACAUUUAGCAUACAUAGCAUUCUUUUCAGUGGGUUCUUGGCUCUGCUUAUCAGACCUAUGUGUCAGGGUGAGUGCUCAGGAAAUAAGGAAUAAGCAAUCACACAGUAGUUAGGAGCAAGCAUUCACUGCCAAAACCAUGGUGCCCUUGUGCAUUUAUGUUAAUUAUCUCAUUUAUUACAAACACAACUGUUUCAUCUCUAUCAUCCUCGCUCUGUAGCACAUCAGAGGUGUAUGUCACUGAUUUUUUGACUUGGAGUUGAGCAUAUAAUAGCAUGUUGACAGGAUUUACUCAUCCUUGCCCUUUAUGUGGAGUGAGCAUGGUGCUGGAGUAGUCAGUUUGAAGUUCCUAUUCUAGCAUUUUUAUUUGGCCUCUGGAGAUUUUGUCUACAUUAUGAAGCCAUCAGUAUCAGAACUGAUUUAUAUAUACAUGAGCUUGGAAGUUCUCUUUAUUAAACACUAUCAGACCUUGGCUGAGGCAGUAGCAAGUCUGGGACAAAGAAAGAUGUGUAGGGUUCAUUAUUACUUGUUAAAUGAUACGCAUGAGUUGAGUUUCUCUGAACAGAGGAAGCUGCAGGCUGUGUCAGUUGCUCUUGGUGGUUCAGACUUUUUGGUGGAUGUUAUGUGUUGUCUUACUUCUGACUUAUUUUUCACUUUAUUUUUCCUUCCCAGAUUUUGAUGUCACCUUCUUGUAGUCCUUCCCCAUAUAAACAAGGAGGCAAGACCUUAAUUCUGAAUGAGCCCAUCUAUUUUUGGAUUUCUUCUGUGACAAAUGACUAGGGAUUCUAACAGUCGAACUUCCUCCAUUGCAAACCAUCUUAAUCAUCUGCAGACCAGCAUCUUUGCAGUAUCCAGAGGAAUGAGCUCAAUCCUCACCUUCCACCAUGCAACAGUUACGAGCACAUAUUAUAGAGACCAUCUUAAAACUGCAAAAUCCUAAAGUGAUUCUGUUGAGAAUUUGACAACUAAUGGAAGUGAAAGCUGGUAGGCAGAAGAUCCUCCUUCUGUGAAGUUUUCAAUGCAAAGUGAAUCAACACUGGCAACUUGGUUAACAUUUUGAUGCUGCCAGGUAGGGGUGUGAGGAUUCGGAGGGAUUUGAACUGAAGCCCCUUGCACAUGUUGAACUGAUGUGAAAAAAGUGAGGGGUCUGUUGCCAUCAAACUGUGGAUCAGAGGGCUUCUUGGUUUUGGCUUGAAAUUGAACUGUAUGCUAGUAGAACUGUAUUCUUUUGAGUAACCACAUCCCGCUUGUGAGGGGAAAAGACAGGUAACACAUCUUUGGAAUUAUAGGGACAUGUGCUAAGGACUGGUCAGAUGUCCCAGACAAUACCACAUACUGUUCUACUUUGAAAUACAUGGACUAAUGUACUAAUACUUAAAAUGUAGACAUUGACCAUCCUGCUCUGGUAGCCUGUCAUAAGGUCAAUGAGAAAUGAUUUUGAAGUCUAAGACUCCUAAUACAGAACUUUUUGUUGAGCUUGUCCUGGUCUUUGUGCCAUUGCUCUGAAAUACCACAUGAAGGAAUGACAUGAGUUCUGUGUCCUAGGCUGUACUCCACAUACCACUUUUUUACUGAGAGUAAAUGGGGGUAUCUAGAAGCAUGAGUUUAAAUUACAGAAAAGUGGUCAAAUGCUGCAAAUAGCAAUAAGAAAUACCACAUUAUCAAAGAGGUAUUGGGACUAUGGAAUGCUGUAGUCCACCUGGCGGAAAAAAGAAACUGGAAAAAAGCCAGACUUGCCUUGUGUUAAACAGAUUAGAAUGUGGACAGCAUCAAGGUUUCUGUGGAAAACUUGUCUCCACUUAAAAAGUAUUUGUACAAAUGCACGGCAGAUACACAUAUGAAUUAUCCCUUAAAAGAAAAACCAACAUUAUUUCCCUAUCAUAAUAUUAUUAGGUUUUUGACACUAAUGUACAUGAUAUGCUAUGAUGCUCCCUUUUUAAUACCUUUCUAUCACACGUUGAGUUCCAGUGCAACACUAACUUAUGUUGUAAGACUUCUGAGACUGAUGGCAGAAUCACUAAAACAGUUUAACUGGAGAGUAGUUCCUCGCAGGCAAGUACACAAAUGACCAGAUGGCCUCCAUAGUUCAUACAAACUUUCCUAUAUUGGAAAUUGAAGUUAUUUUGUUUGUCUGAGCCUAAGGCUCUAUUACCUACGCUGAGUAGACUGCACAAGUGUUAGCUGCUUUAAUAACUUGUGUUUUAUUCAGAGAUCACUGUGCUAAAUGGUCCCUGGUGAGGAAAAAAGAAUCUGGAAAGUACUUUCCCUAUUCUACAAGAUUUCCAUAGCCUUGUUGCUUAAACUCUCUGGAUCUUAAUUAACUUUUUACAAGUUAUAACAGGUGUAUCUAUUUCUGGUUCCCUAGUCGUAUAUUUAUUGUAGGACCAACUGGUUUUUGAGGCAAGGAAACAUCUAACUGCUAGAGAAAUCAAAAAUGAAUUGGUAAGUUGUUCUGCAGCAAUUUAGCUGAUGGAUGCUAAAUACUGAUGGGUAAAGAGAAUCACACCUACUCGCAAUCACUUGCUUUUUAGGACUUGUUCUGGAUGAUCGACACAGGCAAGUGUUUGUGUUAGGCUGGGCCAUCUAAACGUUGUUGUUUAAGGAUGUGGGUGCAGUUGCCUCGCAGAAAUGUAUUGCAGUAAAAUCCUCCAGUUCUCGAAUAUGGCUGCAAUGGCUGUCUAAAAAUAAUACCUAACAAAGGGUGUCCUUCUCAGGGGGAGCCAAAAAUACCCUUAUUUCUCUGUCAAAAUGUAAGGCUAUUAUUAGUUAAUCAACAAGCAGCAGCCUGACCCAGAGACCACGAAAGAGCUGACUUUCAAGCACAUUUUCUACGUAAGGAAUCUUGAGCUUGGACUUCCCCCCCCAAAAAGAUAAUAAAUGCCAUUCGCUUCAAGUUUUGAGCAUC